rfam:Schistosoma mattheei strain Denwood, Zambia genome assembly, scaffold: SMTD_scaffold0007517
AUCCAGUUGACGAGUCCCAAACAGGACGGAACGUGCAUCCUGGAU